rnacentral:tRNA from 2 species
UGGGGUAUCGCCAAGUGGUAAGGCAACGGAUUCUGAUUCCGUCAUCCGCAGGUUCGAAUCCUGCUACCCUAG